GGAGAGGUGGCAGAGUGGUCGAUCGCGCGCGCUUGGAGAGCGCGUGACCCAAAAGGUCCCAGGGUUCAAAUCCCUGCCUCUCCGCCA
rnacentral:tRNA from 1 species